UGGUCCACGUGGGUCACCAACCAAAACCAAAGAAAACACUUUGAGUCCUAAGUGUUCCAAAACUUAGGAAAAAUUUAGAAUUUGUCCAAAUAAAUUUAAACUUAAACCACACCACCACAUAACUCAAUUAUAUCUCAAUGUCCAAAGGUAAUUAUUAACUUCCACGCCAUCGAUAAUUGAUUUCGGGACGGGCUAUGACAAUCUACCCUCCGUAUAAAAAUUUCAUCCUCGAAAUUUAUACCAUCUUUACAAUCCACUAAUGAUUUCUCCCAAGUAGCUUCUUCCACUGAAUGAUUUCUCCAUAAGAUUUUCACCAAACACACUAUCUUAUUCCUCAGAACCUUAUCUUUCCAAUCUAAAAUAGUCAUUGGUUCCUCAUCAUAAGUCAAAUCCGAAUUAAUUUCCAAAGGUUUAGGAGGAAUCACAUGUGAAGGAUCUGAGAUAUAAUGUCGAAGCAUCGAAACAUGGAAUACAUUAUGCACUUUAGACAAUUCUGAAGGCAACUCAAGCCUAUAAGCAACUUCACCAACUCUUUCAGUGAUCAAAUACGGCCUGAUGUAUCUAGGACUUAACUUGCCUUUCUUUCCAAACCACACAACACCUUUCCAUGGUGAUAACUUCAAAAACACGCAAUCA
rnacentral:lncRNA from 1 species